UACGUAGGGUGCAAGCGUUGUCCGGAAUUAUUGGGCGUAAAGAGCUCGUAGGCGGCCUGUUGCGUCCGCUGUGAAAGCCCGGGGCUUAACCCCGGGUCGGCAGUGGAUACGGGCAGGCUAGAGGUAGGUAGGGGAGAAUGGAAUUCCCGGUGUAGCGGUGAAAUGCGCAGAUAUCAGGAGGAACACCGAUGGCGAAGGCAGCUCGCUGGGACGGUACUGACGCUGAGGCGCGAAAGCGUGGGGAGCAAACAGG
rnacentral:rRNA from 1 species